GUAUGAUAGUAGUCAGUAGAUGACUAUGUAAAAUAGUAGUCAGUAGAUGACUAUGUAGACAGUAGUCAGUAGAUGACUACUGUUAUAUUUCAGAAUAUGGCAGUAAAUGACAGGGUAUGACAGUGGUUACGUUUCGUAAAGAUACUCCAUAUGGUUUUAUACUCUGUUGUAUGUUACACUUGUGUGGGACUGGGGAAGUGUCUAUUUCGCGCAAGUUUGUGUGGUGGUGACAGGUGGUCAUCUUGGUCUAUGGUCGUUUGGUCUGGUUACAGUGUAGAAUGGUUGGUUUAUGGUUAUCCCUAUUGUUUUUAUGCUGCAAAGUAUCUUGAUUUUACGAAGAUUUGAUGUCGAAAAGUAUCCAUUUCCUUAGAAUGGAUUUUACAUUUGAUAAUGUAAAUAAAGGGCCAAAUUAUUUGUGUGCCACAAAAAGUUAUUCGGGUGAUAGUAAAUUAUCGCAAGAAAUACGAAAUGCAAGACUCAAAACCAAAAUUUGUGCUUCAGACAAACAUAAGAAGUAUUCUGCCAAAAAAAACUGUCUAGGAAAGGCCGAGUCUGUUAUGAAUAAAACCAAUUCAAUGAAUUUGAAAAUAUUUGAAGAAAUGAAUAUUAGUUACAUUCCUGCGUGUGUUUUAAAGCUAUAUUUCCAAAUAGAGAGAGAUGGUACAAUUCCAAUAAGUUGUGUUAAAACAUCUAGACAAGAAGAAAUAAAUUCCACUUCAAAUAACAAGACUAGGAGAACACAAUAUCAGUUGAAAUCUCAAUGUAUUUCAUCUAUGACUAUAAAAGGACAUGAAAACCUGUCAUGCAAUGAAACAAUAAAUGUCACGAAAUCUUCAUCAGAAAAGGAAAAUGGAGAAGUAUUUGAAUUUCAGGAAGAUGAAGCACCUUCGAUCAUAUGUCAGUCCUUGAGGAAGAAGUCGAAAUAUAGUAAUCACAAUAACAAAGCAAAACACAUUGGUUCUAUGGAGAAGGUUAUUAGAAAUCUCAAUAGAUAUGAAAAACUGCAGUGUGAUGUCUAAUUUGCUGCUAAUACAACUCAAUAGUUUAAUUUUAUCAAGAUAACCAGAAUUUGUUAUGUUCAAUCUUGAGAAUAUGCCAUAUCAUGAAAGAUGUUUGGCUAGAAUAGGGUUUCAUAAACCAGAACAUUAUGGUGUGAAAUUGUAGCUGGUCAACAGAUAAAGUCCGACACACCUGAGCAUUUGUCUGGGAAAAUCUUUGUGUGACCAGUCAUUAUGACCAGCCAUUUCAGUAAAUCUGCCAGGAAACUUAAGAUUUAUUGGGAUGUGUGAGCAAAAAAAUAUUUGGUUCAUUAUCUGAUUGGUAAACCCUCCUAUUGUUAUAUCAUAACUUGGGGACAAUGCAAUUUGUAAGAAUAAAUUUAUAGGCUGCUCCAAACAAUAUAUGUACAUACAUUUUACUUAGAUAAAAAUGCUUGUUGUUGCAGUACAUAUCAUUUAAUCUGUUCAUAAUAGUUGAAGGCAUUAAUUAUUCUACAUCAAAAUUGUUUGAAAUUAAUGUGUGCAUUGGCAUCUCAUUCUUUGAAAAAAUAUUCGAAGAUUUGAAGAAA